UUGAACACUGGAGGACUGACAGCUGUCCUUCAUGACAACAGAAGACACAGAAAUCCUCCUCAUCAAAAACAUGACUUUGAUCUGCGUCCUCAUCUGGACUCUCCUCCGCUGCUGCUUCACAGAGUCCAGAGGUCAGGUCACAGUGACUCAGCCUGCAGCAGUGACAGCUGAUCUGGGAGGAUCUGCUACCAUUACCUGUAGGACCAGUCAGAAUGUUUAUGUUGAUUCCAACGGCCACUAUCAAGCCUGGUAUCAACAGAAAGAUGGACAAACUCCUAAGCUGCUCAUUUAUUAUGCCAGCACUCGAGCAUCAGGGACUCCAAGUCGUUUUACAGGCAGUGGAUCAAACUCUGACUUCACUCUGACCAUCAGUGGAGUUCAGGCUGAAGAUGCUGCAGUUUACUACUGUAUGGGUGAAUUCUACAUCAGCAGCACAUAUUCAUUCACACAGUGAAAAUCAGUCGUACA